rnacentral:rRNA from 1 species
UCCGAGCGUUAUCCGGAAAUUAUUGGGUUUAAAGGGUCCGUAGGCGGGCCAUUAAGUCAGUGGUGAAAGUCUGCAGCUCAACUGUAGAAUUGCCUUUGAUACUGGUGGUCUUGAGUUAUGGUGAAGUGGCUGGAAUAUGUAGUGUAGCGGUGAAAUGCAUAGAUAUUACAUAGAACACCGAUUGCGAAGGCAGGUCACUAACCAUAUACUGACGCUGAUGGACGAAAGCGUGGGGAGCGAACAGGAUUAGAUACCCUGGUAGUCCACGCCGUAAACGAUGGAUACUAGCUGUCCGGGACCUUGAGUCCUGGGCGGCCAAGCGAAAGUGAUAAGUAUCCCACCUGGGGAGUACGUUCGCAAGAAUGAAACUCAAAGGAAUUGACGGGGGCCCGCACAAGCGGUGGAGCAUGUGGUUUAAUUCGAUGAUACGCGAGGAACCUUACCAGGGCUUAAAUGUAGAUUGACAGGGGUAGAGAUACCUUUUCCUUCGGGCAAUUUACAAGGUGCUGCAUGGUUGUCGUCAGCUCGUGCCGUGAGGUGUCAGGUUAAGUCCUAUAACGAGCGCAACCCCUGCCGUUAGUUGCCAGCAUGUAAAGAUGGGGACUCUAACGGGACUGCCGGUGCAAACCGUGAGGAAGGUGGGGAUGACGUCAAGUCAUCACGGCCCUUACGUCCUGGGCCACACACGUGCUACAAUGGCCGGUACAGAGAGCAGCCACUUGGCGACAAGGAGCGAAUCUACAAAACCGGUCACAGUUCGGAUCGGGGUCUGCAACUCGACCCCGUGAAGCUGGAAUCGCUAGUAAUCGGAUAUCAGCCAUGAUCCGGUGAAUACGUUCCCGGGCCUUGUACACACCGCCCGUCAAGCCAUGGAAGCCGGGAGUGCCUG